UGCUCUUCCAAUCUGUGCUCUUUACAACAUACGUGGGUUUUUUUAUGCAUCCGAUUUUGCUUUAAAUGGCUGGAAUCCAGGAAUUUUGGUUUAAUGAUUGAACAGUUAUCCAUGUGAAUGGUUACAUAACAUAACCUCUAUCACUUCUAAAAGCUGCU